UUUCACAGGUUCCUUAGGACAAUCCUGAGAGGUAAGAAUAUUAUUCUUCCUGCUUUCAUUGCCUGCAGAGGUCGUGCCCCUAGGAGCAGCAGAAUUGGAGCUUCGGUUCGCACACUUGAUUCACUAUUUCUCCCUCUUGGAUCUUGUCUUCCCAAAACCUUGCAGGGUCGUGUGGGAAAGACAAUAUAUCUUCUUAUGCUGAGGAUGGAGCAAAACUCGGAGGGAAGAGCCGGGAGAACACAGAGCAGAGGAGAUGAGCCAGGUGGACUCUGCCUGAGGCCACACUGCAGAGACCUCUUGUAUGUAAGAUCCUAAAUUGGCUCCUGGCUUAGCCAGCUUGAGUGGGGUUUUAUGUGCUUGAAGACAUUUGAACGUAUACACCAUAUUCACUUCUCCAUUCGUAUGUGUUGUUUCUUCUGCCUGAAACCUUUUUACAAUGGUUUACCCCUCUCUCCUACUCAUCCAUGAAGCCUCAACUCAGGCAUACUUCUACCAGGGGGCCUUCUAUGGUCCCUCAAGAGAAGGCAUCUUUCCUUUGUGCUCCUACACUACUGUGUGAGAAUAGAAGUAUAAUUUACUUGGGACAGUGUGGUGGCUCCUGUGGGUAAUCCCAGCACUUUGAGAGGCCAAGGAGAACCACUUGAGACCAGGAGUUCAAGACCAGCCUGGGCAACAAAGCAAGAUGCCCCCUAACCCUGCCCAUCUCUGUACAAAGUGAAAAGAAAAAAUAUUAGCCUAGCACAGUGGUGUGCACCUAUAGUCCCAGUUACUUGGGACUACCCAGGCUGAGGUAGGGAGCAUUCAUUGAGCCUACAAGUUGGAAGCUGCAGUGAGCUGUGAUUGUGCCACUGCACUCCAGCCUGGGUGACAGAGCAAGAUCCUGUCUCAAGAAAAAAAAUUGCUUGAAUAUAACUCCCACUAGACUGUAAUUGUUUGAGGAGAGAGAUAACUUUUAGCAUCCAACACAGUGCCUGGCACACAGCAAUUGCUCAGUAAAUAUCUGUUAAAAGAACAGAUAUUACUUUCAUUGAUCUAACCAUCACUUUUUAUGAUAAUAGCAAUAUUGGCAAAGACUCAUGGAAAUGAGCACUUCCCACAUGAAUAGCUGAUGGUAGAGUUUUUCUGAAUUGCAACUUGACAAUAUGUUUUAGAGUACAAAAAACAAGUAUGCCAGAAUGACACUUCUAAAAAUCUAUCAUUACAAAAGAAUCAAGAUUUAUUUUUAUGUAUGUGCAGGACUGCUCUUAAUGGUGAAGCAAUAAAAACAAGCUACAACAGUAGAAUAGACUGGUUAAAUGAAUUCUAGUAUAGCUAUAUACUGCAAUACUGCACAACCGACAUUUGUGCUUUCAAAAAUAUUUAAUCAUUUGGAAAAAUAUUUACAUUGUAUCAUUAAGUUAAGAAGCAUGUAACAAAAGCUAUAUCUAAAUGUGAUUCCUAUUUUUUAAAUGUAUAUGAACAAAGAAGACUAGAGUAAGGAACAGUGGCUGACACCUGUAAUCACAGUGCUUUGGGAGGCUGACAUGGGAUGAUCGCUUGAAUCUAGGCGUUCAAGACCAGACUUGGCAACAUAGCAAGAUCCUAUCUCAACAACAACACGAACAACAGCAAAAUCAGCCAGGCACUGUAGUGCGUGCCUGUAGUCCCACCUACUAGGGAGGCUGAGGUGGGAGGAUUACUUGAGCCUGGGAGGUCAAGGCUUCAGUGAGCCAUGAUCAUGUCACUGCACUCCAGUCUGGGUGACAGAGCAAGACCCUAUCUCUAAAAAGGAAGGAAAGAAAGAGACUAGAAACUGUGCACUAAUAUUUUAAUAGUGGUUAUCUGAAUGGUAUAAUUGUAAUUUUAAUUUCUUCUUGAUGCUUUUCUAAAUUCUCAACAACACAUAUAUAUUUUUUAAAGCUGGUAAAAUUAAUAUUAAGAAAAGAAAGCAAAGAAGGGAAGAAGGAAGAAAGAACAGCGAGAGGUGAAAAGAGAGGAGAGAAAGAAUAAGAAGAUGGGGCUCUGAAUCAGGAUAGUUGAGUUUUAAUACUAGCUUCAUCAUUAAGAGACCAUCCAGUUCAGGCUGUCAUUUAGUCUUGUCCCUCAAUAUCUCACUCAGAAAGUGGGAAUAAUAUUUACCCUGCCUUAUGGAUUUUUUUUUCUAAAUACAAAAAAGUACGUGAAGGGGCUUUGAUAAAAUAUAUGCAUUUUGUAAUAUCAGAUGGCAUUUUUAUUCACACAGAUAUUGUUUAAUCACAGCUACCCUUUUUUUUUUUGAUUUUUUAUUGGAUU
rnacentral:lncRNA from 1 species